rnacentral:rRNA from 1 species
AUUUUCCGCAAUGGGCGAAAGCCUGACGGAGCAACGCCGCGUGAGGGAUGAAGGUUUUCGGAUCGUAAACCUCUGUCUUCGGGGACGAUAAUGACGGUACCCAAGGAGGAAGCCACGGCUAACUACGUGCCAGCAGCCGCGGUAAUACGUAGGUGGCAAGCGUUGUCCGGAAUUACUGGGCGUAAAGGGCGUGUAGGCGGCCUUUUAAGUCAGACGUGAAAUCCAUGGGCUUAACCCAUGAAUUGCGUUUGAAACUGGAAGGCUUGAGGACCGGAGAGGGUAGUGGAAUUCCCAGUGUAGCGGUGAAAUGCGUAGAUAUUGGGAGGAACACCAGUGGCGAAGGCGACUGCCUGGACGGCACCUGACGCUGAGGCGCGAAAGCUAGGGGAGCAAAC